CAGGCUUAACACAUGCAAGUCGAGGGGCAGCAUGGUCUUAGCUUGCUAAGGCCGAUGGCGACCGGCGCACGGGUGAGUAACGCGUAUCCAACCUGCCUUACACUCUUGGACAGCCUUCUGAAAGGGAGAUUAAUACAAGAUGUUAUCAUGAGUAAGCAUUUUCGCAUGAUUAAAGGUUUACCGGUGUAAGAUGGGGAUGCGUUCCAUUAGAUAGUAGGCGGGGUAACGGCCCACCUAGUCUUCGAUGGAUAGGGGUUCUGAGAGGAAGGUCCCCCACAUUGGAACUGAGACACGGUCCAAACUCCUACGGGAGGCAGCAGUGAGGAAUAUUAGUCAAUGGACGAGAGUCUGAACCAGCCAAGUAGCGUGAAGGAUGAAGGUUCUAUGGAUUGUAAACUUCUUUUAUACGGGAAUAAACGAAUCCACGUGUGGAUUUUUGCAUGUACCGUAUGAAUAAGGAUCGGCUAACUCCGUGCCAGCAGCCGCGGUAAUACGGAGGAUCCGAGCGUUAUCCGGAUUUAUUGGGUUUAAAGGGAGCGUAGAUGGGUUGUUAAGUCAGUUGUGAAAGUUUGCGGCUCAACCGUAAAAUUGCAAUUGAUACUGGCAGUCUUGAGUACAGUUGAGGUAGGCGGAAUUCGUGGUGUAGCGGUGAAAUGCUUAGAUAUCACGAAGAACUCCGAUUGCGAAGGCAGCUUACUAACCUGUAACUGACAUUGAUGCUCGAAAGUGUGGGUAUCAAACAGGAUUAGAUACCCUGGUAGUCCACACGGUAAACGAUGAAUACUCGCUGUAGGCGAUAUACAGUCUGCGGCCAAGCGAAAGCAUUAAGUAUUCCACCUGGGGAGUACGCCGGCAACGGUGAAACUCAAAGGAAUUGACGGGGGCCCGCACAAGCGGAGGAACAUGUGGUUUAAUUCGAUGAUACGCGAGGAACCUUACCCGGGCUUAAAUUGCAACCGAAUAUGGCGGAAACGCUAUAGCUAGCAAUAGCGGUUGUGAAGGUGCUGCAUGGUUGUCGUCAGCUCGUGCCGUGAGGUGUCGGCUUAAGUGCCAUAACGAGCGCAACCCUUGCCGAUAGUUACUAACAGGUUAUGCUGAGGACUCUGUCGGGACUGCCAUCGUAAGAUGUGAGGAAGGUGGGGAUGACGUCAAAUCAGCACGGCCCUUACGUCCGGGGCUACACACGUGUUACAAUGGGGGGUACAGAGGGCUGCUACCACGCAAGUGGAUGCCAAUCCCAAAAACCUCUCUCAGUUCGGAUUGAAGUCUGCAACCCGACUUCAUGAAGCUGGAUUCGCUAGUAAUCGCGCAUCAGCCACGGCGCGGUGAAUACGUUCCCGGGCCUUGUACACACCGCCCGUCAAGCCAUGGGAGCCGGGGGUACCUGAAGUGCGUAACCGCAAGGAGCGCCCUAGGGUAAAACUGGUGACUGGGGC
rnacentral:rRNA from 1 species